rnacentral:rRNA from 1 species
AUGGCUCAGGACGAACGCUGGCGGCGUGCCUAACACAUGCAAGUCGAGCGAGGAGAUCCUUCGGGAUGAUCCUAGCGGCGGACGGGUGAGUAACACGUGGGCAACCUGCCUCAUAGAGAGGAAUAGCCUUCCGAAAGGGAGAUUAAUACCUCAUAACAUUGCAGUUUCGCAUGGAACAGCAAGUUAAAGGAGUAAUCCGCUAUGAGAUGGGCCCGCGGCGCAUUAGCUAGUUGGUGAGGUAACGGCUCACCAAGGCGACGAUGCGUAGCCGACCUGAGAGGGUGAUCGGCCACAUUGGGACUGAGACACGGCCCAGACUCCUACGGGAGGCAGCAGUGGGGAAUAUUGCACAAUGGGGGAAACCCUGAUGCAGCCAACGCCGCGUGAGUGAUGACGGCCUUCGGGUUGUAAAGCUCUGUCUUCAGGGACGAUAAUGACGGUACCUGAGGAGGAAGCCACGGCUAACUACGUGCCAGCAGCUGC